AACACGUGGAUAAUCUACCCGACAAUCAGGGAUAACAUUCCGAAAGGGAUGCUAAUACCCAAUAAGCCCACGACGUCUUCGGACGAUGUGGGAAAAGGUGGGGACCUUCGGGCCUGCCGUUGUCGGAUGAGUCCGCGGCCCAUUAGCUAGUUGGUAGGGUAAUGGCCUACCAAGGCUACGAUGGGUAGCUGGUCUGAGAGGAUGAUCAGCCACACUGGAACUGAGACACGGUCCAG
rnacentral:rRNA from 1 species